rnacentral:ribozyme from 13 species
UUUUUUUUUUUUUUUUUUUUUUUUUUUUGCCAAUUCAUGAAAGAUUUUAUA